AUUUUGUAAGUAGUUGCGAAUGAACACAAAUUUGAUCACUUUGGCAAUCUGUACACAUUGCUGUGUAACAAUUUGUAUACGUUGGCACAGUGCUAUCAAAGCUGCAUGCAAGUGUUUUUUGAAAGGAUACAACAUGGGAUGUGAUAUUCAUGUGUGUGUGCCUGCUUUGUCCACAGCCUGUGCUGUAUGAAUCACAUUUCUUGCAACUGAAAUGCUAAUGGCAUGGUAAAGUUCAUGUGACAUGACACAAGCUUGAGAUUCAUGAUGUGCAAGUACCAUGAGGGAAAUGUGAAAAGGACUUUGGAAAGAGAAUUAAAUAAAGCCUGCAUUUGCUGACAAUGAAAGCAAGUGUGGAUGUUCAUGUAAUUGUUACUGCAUCAAUCAAUGUUCAUCUUGGUUACUGCAUGCUUUAUAUUACAGCUCAGAACAUGAAGUGUGUGUAACAGCUCUGCUUUGAUUUUUCCCACAUGGGAUCAGUUGAAACAUUGUGAGAGCACUCUUCAGUUUCCUUAUGUACCCACCAGCUUUGUCCACUCGCGUGUUGGCACACAUGUAAUGAUGAUGUGUUUAUGCAAGAUACUUCUGUGCUCAACAACAUGUUGUGUCAAUCCUCACUUGACCCGUCUUGAAACACGGACCAAGGAGUCUGGCAAGUGUGCAAACCAACUUUCUGUAGAGAUUUGUAUGUAAUGAACAUGUUUGUAUCAUUAUUGCACCACCAAUCAAUAUUCAGCUCGUUGCUUAUUUGAAUGUGAGCAUUGUUGCUAGGACCCGAAAGAUGGUGAACUAUGCUUGCAUAACAUGAGUUCAGAGGAAACUCUGAUGGAAGUUUGUAUCGGUACUGACGUGCAAAUCGUUCGUCACAACUGGGUAUAGGGCGAAAGACUAAUCGAACCAUCUAGUAGCUGGUUCCUCCCGAAGUUUCCCUCAGGAUAGUUGGGAUUUGUUCAGUUAUAUUAUUUAAAGCGAAUGUUUAAAGGAAUUGGGGGCUUGUUUGCCUUUGACCUAUUCUCAAACUUUUAAUGUGUAUUAUUGCUGGAAUAACACAGAGUAUUGCAUGCAAUGAAAAAAUCAAGUGGGCCAUUUUUGGUAAGCAGAACUGGCGAUGAGGGAUGAACCUAAUAGUGGGUAAACAUGCUUAAUUUCCUGCCUAUGUGAUACCAGAAAGGGUGUUGGUUCAUUUUAACAGCAGGACGGUGGUCAUGGAAGUUGAAAUCCGCUAAGGAGUGUGUAACAACUCACCUGCCGAAUGGACUAGCCCCGAAAAUGGAUGGCGCUCAAGCAGGCAAUGUAUACUCAUUCAUGAAUGUUGUGUUUCAUGUGUAGGGGGGCAUUGUGAUUGUUGCGAAGUUUGUGUACCC
rnacentral:rRNA from 1 species